rnacentral:rRNA from 1 species
CCUACGGGAGGCAGCAGUGGGGAAUAUUGCACAAUGGGGGAAACCCUGAUGCAGCGACGCCGCGUGAGUGAAGAAGUAUUUCGGUAUGUAAAGCUCUGUCAGCAGGGAAGAAAAUGACGGUACCUGACCAAGAAGCCCCGGCUAACUACGUGCCAGCAGCCGCGGUAAUACGUAGGGGGCAAGCGUUAUCCGGAUUUACUUGGUGUAACGGGCGCGUAGACGGCAGGGCACGUCUGGAGGGAAAGGCGGGGGCUCAACCCCCGGACUGCUCUGGAAACUGCCAGGCUGGAGUGCAGGAGAGGUAAGUGGAAUUCCUAGGGUAGCGGUGAAAUGCGUAGAUAUUAGGAGGAACACCAGUGGCGAAGGCGGCUUACUGGACUGUAACUGACGUUGAGGCUCGAAAGCGUGGGGAGCAAACAGGAUUAGAUACCCCUGUAGUC